rnacentral:rRNA from 1 species
GUCUAUGGCCAUGCUACCCUGAACAAGCCUGAUCCCACCUGAUCUCAGAAGCUAAGCAGGAUCAGGCCUGGUUAGUACUUGGAUGGGAGACCACCUAGGAAGGCCUGUAGGCAUGAAAA